rnacentral:rRNA from 1 species
CCUACGGGUGGCAGCAGUGAGGAAUAUUGGUCAAUGGACGAGAGUCUGAACCAGCCAAGUAGCGUGAAGGAUGACUGCCCUAUGGGUUGUAAACUUCUUUUAUAUGGGAAUAAAAUGUUCCACGUGUGGGAUUUUGUAUGUACCAUAUGAAUAAGGAUCGGCUAACUGCGUGCCAGCAGCCGCGGUAAUACGGAGGCUGCGAGCGUUAUCCGGAUUUAUUGGGUUUAAAGGGAGCGUAGGUGGAUUGUUAAGUCAGUUGUGAAAGUUUGAGGCUCAACCGUAAAAUUGCAGUUGAAACUGGCAGUCUUGAGUACAGUAGAGGUGAGUGGAAUUCGUGGUGUAGCGGUGAAAUGCUUAGAUAUCACGAAGAACUCCGAUUGCGAAGGCAGUUCACUGGACUGCAACUGACACUGAGGCUCGAAAGUGUGGGUAUCAAACAGGAUUAGAUACCCCGGUAGUC